AAAAAAUGUGCAGUCAAAAUUUUUUAUUUUUUAUUUCAAGUGCCAACUGUCAGGAAGUCUACUGUAACUGGAAGAAACAAAUAAAAAUGCAGUCACUAGUCACCAGGUUUUGACUUCAAGAGAGGCUGUUCAUCAGUACAGAAAGAGAAAUUCAUGUUAUGAUUGGUAUUAUCUUUGUAAACCAGAACAUGAAAUCCAAUUCUUUCUAAACAACGGUCCUUGGAUAAACGGAAAAUAUAAACCCAACGUUUAAAUGGAGUGAAAAAUGGCAAAAAGGAGGGAAAAUU